AUGGCACUGUGGGAGGUGAGCUUGGU
rnacentral:piRNA from 1 species